rnacentral:lncRNA from 1 species
GUGGGCCAGGCCCCAGCCGGCCAGCCUGCCUCCUCCCUGCCUGGGGUGCUGUGCCUUUGGGCAAGUUCUGGGAGUGCCGGCCCCAGCACCCCUCUCCUCAGAACCCCUACCUGGCCUCGCCCUGGCCCUGUCCCUCCUGUCUCUCCCUUCCAUCCAUGGACCAGGCCCUGGGGUGCCAUCGAGUGCCCUGACAGGCUCCUGCGGGUCUCUCCUGCUCUGUAGGAGACUGAGGGCCCAGUGUGAGCCUCCUGCAGGUUGUGGGAGGGGGUGGAGGGAACAGCAGCACCCACUAUGAUGCCACCCCGAGGGCCUAGGGCCUGGGGCAUCUUGGGCAGGCCUCAGUACCUGUAUCUGAAGAGAGGGGAGGUUGUGCUCACAUGCUGGGAGACUUCCCAGCUCUGCACUGUGAGUCAGUCUAUGAUGUCUGUGAUGGAAGAAACAGGUUCCCCCGGCAUCCCUGCCCAAGCACUGUGGGUAGCCUGUGCCGAGGACAGGAGGGACAGGAAAUCUGCCCUCUGGGAGCUCCCAGGCUCAGGGUGGAGUUGGGGGGAGAACAGGAAGCAAUCACCAAGGAGAUGAAAGAAACAAGGCCCCUAAAGGGACUGGGUCCUGAGUCUGGGAGCUUUGAGGUGGGGUCCGGACAUCAUACCAGCCCUCGUCUCCUGGCCGCUUCACCAAGGAGACCACCCAGAAGAAUUUCAACAAUCUCUAUGGCACCAAAGGUAACUACACCUCCCGGGUCUGGGAGUACUCCUCCAGCAUUCAGAACUCUGACAAUGACCUGCCCGUCGUCCAAGGCAGCUCCUCCUUCUCCCUGAAAGGCUAUCCCUCCCUCAUGCGGAGCCAAAGCCCCAAGGCCCAGCCCCAGACUUGGAAAUCUGGCAAGCAGACUAUGCUGUCUCACUACCGGCCAUUCUACGUCAACAAAGGCAACGGGAUUGGGUCCAACGAAGCCCCAUGAGCUC